GGGUGUGUAGCUUAGUUUGGUAGAGCAGUGGCCUCCAAAGCCGCCGGUCGGGGGUUCGACUCCCUCCGCACUCG
rnacentral:tRNA from 10 species